UUAAAUUUUUGAAGUUAUCUUAGCUUUUUUGUUGGGUGAAAUCAGUAUAAAGAGUUUCUCUUUCUUUUAAAAUUAAUAGGAAUUAAAAAACUUUGAUUUAAAACCAGGAUUAGAUACCCUGUUAUUCUAAGUUAUAUUUAGACAGGGUAGUAAAAGUUGUUCUUCAAACCCAAAGAUUUUGGCGGCACUUUAUCCAAAUAGAGGAGCUUGUCCCUUAAUCGAUAGUCCCCGUUUUAUCUUUCCUCUGUUUGUAGAGCUUGUAUACCGCCGUUGUCAGAUUACUUUUAGAGAAUGUUUUCAAGUUAAAAGACUUUUUUACUUCAGGUCAAGGUGCAGUUUAUAUAGAGGUGGAGGUGAGCUACAAUUUUCUUUAGAAAUACGGAUUUCAAGCCUUGAAGCUGGUUGAAGGUGGAUUUAUUAGUAAAGUAA
rnacentral:rRNA from 1 species